rnacentral:rRNA from 1 species
UACGUAGGGUGCAAGCGUUGUCCGGAAUUAUUGGGCGUAAAGAGCUCGUAGGCGGUCUGUCGCGUCUGCUGUGAAAACUCAGGGCUUAACCCUGAGCUUGCAGUGGGUACGGGCAGACUAGAGUGCGGUAGGGGAGACUGGAAUUCCUGGUGUAGCGGUGAAAUGCGCAGAUAUCAGGAGGAACACCGGUGGCGAAGGCGGGUCUCUGGGCCGUAACUGACGCUGAGGCGCGAAAGCUAGGGGAGCGAACAGG